UUAUUUUGUUAUUUUAAAAUAUUAUAUUAAACGGUUAAAUACUCAAAAUAUAUAGGACGUUCAGAGAUUGGGCCGCCUGUGUUUUGGUCUUAAUGUUUCCUUCCAUCGGCCUCGUUAUAAGGAAGGCACAGGCGGGCGGGCGCGGGCAAAUAGAGCCUGGGCCUCCGCAGAUUUCGUGCUCGACCAACAGCGCAUUUGUUUGCAUUUUCGCUCUCAGCUAAUCAUAAUGCAGGAAACGAGAAAUUCACACCAAGCGAGUGUGUGUUUUAAAUUUAUAACCAAAAGCUCUUGAUACAGCUCAUUAAAAUCUAAAACUUUGCCGUUGGCAGUUUUAAAUUUCGACCUAGAACGGAAAAUAUCCGUGUUUGAGAUUUUUCCCUAUGUCGCGUAUACAAAUUUGAGUAAUCUAAUUUGACUGCAGUAAAACUAAAAAUUGCUAUAUUUUCUCUGCUUUACGUUUGUUGGAAAACUCUUUUUCGCCCUUGUUGAGAAUCAUUUUGGUCAAUGUAUUAUUUUAUAACGCUAUAAACGCGUUAUCGUCUGGGUUUUUCAUACAAAACAUUGACCAAAACAAUUUGCAACAAAAGCGAAAAAGAGUUUUCCAACAAAAUCUUAAAAGCAGAGAAAAUAUAGCAAUUUUUAGCUAUUACUCAAAUUUGUAUACGCGACAUAUAGGGAAACAUUUCAAACACGGAUAUUUUCAGUUCUAGGUCGAAAUUUAAAAAUGUCCACGGCAAAGUUUUAGAUUUUAAUGUGCUGCAUCAUAUUAUAAUCUUUUGGUUCAGUAAAAUUGAAUCUCACGGAAGCCCGAAAAGACGGCAGUACUUUCUAGCUCGCGGCAAGCCUUGGUGUAAAUUUCUCGUUUCCUGCAUUAUGAUUAGCUGCAUGAGAGCGAAAAUGUAAACAAAUGUUGUAUAUAUAUAUAUUGGUUUAGCCUUAUAUACGCCUAUAUUAUAUUGUAAAAGCUCACUCACACUCAAUGAGUGGAGGUUCAAUCUGAGCUUCUCUUCCCGUCUAUGCUAUUUCUGAAUAGCUGGAGGGUGAGUAACCACAUAGUAAGGUACGACAACAGCCCUCCAGCUAUUCAAAAACAGCAAUGACACUCGAGACGGAAGCUCAGAUUGAACUUCCACUCAUUGAGUGCGAGUGUGAGUGAGCUUUUAGGGACCGGUCAUUAUUUAUGGAAGGGGGGGGAGGGGAAUUUUUUCUUUUCUAAAUUUUUAAAAUUGAAAGCCCCCCCCUAAAAGAGCAGAAAUUUAAUGAUGACCCCCCCUGCAUAUUUGAAUAUUUUUCUUUGACCCCCCCCCAUUUCGCUUUUACUCGUCAAAUGGGGAUACCCAGGCGUUAUAGUGUUAAUUAUUAAAUAAGAAUAUGGAACUGGCAAGAUAUUAACGUCGACCAAAAAUAUAUUAGCAGAAAAUUAUAAUUAAAAGAGGAGUAUUUUUAUAUAUAACACUAAAAUCAGGUUUCCAUUUGGUCUGGGCGAUUGUAACCAUGUUUAAGGCUGCAACUAGACUUGGCGGUACGAAGUAUUGCCAUAGCAGCUGCGCAGCAACAAUGAGAGCAACAAUCAGUAAUAUUAGCAGCAAAAAGAGAUAGUUUAGCAAUGACAAUUCUGCCAAGGCAUACCUGCGAAAUACAAUGUAUAGUGGUCUAUACAUCCUAUUUUAUGUGAGAUUAAAAAUUAUAUAAAAUAAAAUGACAUAUACUAGCUACCAGAUAAAAUCCUUUAGAAUGAACAUGGGUGGGUGGGUGGGUGGGUGGGUGGGGAAAAGAUAUCGAAGCGCAAAACUUUAACUUGCUGCAGCUAGGCAAAGCAUACAAUGGCAGAAUGAAUACCCAGACCGAAGCACUGAUCACAAGGCAUGAAACAACCCCCUUUGAUCGAUAUGACGUCACAGACUCCCCUCAGCGGAUGUGGCCUGCAUAAUACAUCCGCCGUUAACCUUGCUUAAUUUAAAUGUAUUUAACCACAUCAA
rnacentral:lncRNA from 1 species